GCAAUGCAGACAGUGGAUGAGAAGACAGGGCACCGGAGUGAGCCAGGGCGACCCGGCAAUGAUGCAGGCAGCCUCUACCUUCUUACCGCCGUCCCCAGCACCAUAUGUAUCGUCCGUUCCCCCGGCCUUAUCCUACAGAGGAUUUCACAUAAAAUUGGGUACUCCAGCCACUAGCACCUCUUUCUGUUUUCAUGAACACUGUUACGAGUCUUAGAAAAACCUAACUGCGGGGCACCUGGGUGGCUCAGUGGGUUAAAGCCUCUGCCUUUGGCUCAGGUCAUGAUCCCGGAGUCCUGGGAUCGAGCCCCACAUUGGGCUCUCUGCUCAGCAGAGAGCCUGCUUCCUCCUCUCUCUCUGCCUGCCUCUCUGCCUACUUGUGAUCUCUGUCUGUCAAAUAAAUAAAUAAACAAAAUCUUUAAAAAAAAAAAAAAAAAAAAGAAAAACCUAACUGCGAGCUCCAAGGGCCACAGGCACGGCUGUUGCGAAUUCCCAGCUUCCCGUUGUUUCAAUCGUGAGACUCUUCUUAGCUCAUGGGUAGCUUAUAACGUUCCUAAUUAAAUGGGAAUGGGAAAAUACAUUAAU
rnacentral:lncRNA from 1 species